rnacentral:tRNA from 1 species
GUUGUGGCUCAGUGGUAGAGCCCUUGUCUACCACGUGUGAGGCCCUGGGUUCAAUCCUCAGCACUACA